GAUGAACGCUGGCGGCGUGCCUAAUACAUGCAAGUCGAGCGAACGGACGAGAAGCUUGCUUCUCUGAUGUUAGCGGCGGACGGGUGAGUAACACGUGGAUAACCUACCUAUAAGACUGGGAUAACUUCGGGAAACCGGAGCUAAUACCGGAUAAUAUUUUGAACCGCAUGGUUCAAAAGUGAAAGACGGUCUUGCUGUCACUUAUAGAUGGAUCCGCGCUGCAUUAGCUAGUUGGUAAGGUAACGGCUUACCAAGGCAACGAUGCAUAGCCAACCUGAGAGGGUGAUCGGCCACACUGGAACUGAGACACGGUCCAGACUCCUACGGGAGGCAGCAGUAGGGAAUCUUCCGCAAUGGGCGAAAGCCUGACGGAGCAACGCCGCGUGAGUGAUGAAGGUCUUCGGAUCGUAAAACUCUGUUAUUAGGGAAGAACAUAUGUGUAAGUAACUGUGAACAUCUUGACGGUACCUAAUCAGAAAGCCACGGCUAACUACGUG
rnacentral:rRNA from 1 species